ensembl:lncRNA AABR07004733.2
AGCUCCUAUGGGAGAGAUGAGGCACAGGAGAUAAUCCCUGGAAGCUUGCAGUCCAGCCAACAAGGAAUGACUGGUGUUGAAAAGCAGACACGCUGCCACAAGUUAGAUGAAAGAGCAAUGCUGUGUGAACCAGAUGGGAGAGAAUUCCACACCCAGGUCCCGGACAGUGGGGAUCAAAAACAUACAAAAUGCAGACGGGAAGCCAGAAAAUGGGGAAGAUGCUGUGCAAGCAAAGAAAACACAUAAUUCAGUGUUUCUACUGGUUAGACAUGUGUGCCC